GACGGAGGGGGCUAGCGUUGUUCGGAAUUACUGGGCGUAAAGAGUGCGUAGGCGGCUUAGUAAGUUGGAAGUGAAAGCCCGAGGCUUAACCUCGGAACUGCUUUCAAAACUACUAAUCUAGAGUGUAGUAGGGGAUGAUGGAAUUCCUAGUGUAGAGGUGAAAUUCUUAGAUAUUAGGAGGAACACCGGUGGCGAAGGCGGUCAUCUGGGCUACAACUGACGCUGAUGCACGAAAGCAUGGGGAGCGAACAGG
rnacentral:rRNA from 1 species